GUAUCCUGGCUCAGGAUGAACGCUAGCUACAGGCUUAACACAUGCAAGUCGAGGGGCAGCAUUUUAGUUUGCUUGCAAACUAAAGAUGGCGACCGGCGCACGGGUGAGUAACACGGUAUCCAACCUGCCGAUAACGUCAGGGAUAGACCUUUCGAAGAAAGAUUAAUACCUGAUGGCAUAGGAUUAUCGCGAUGAUAAUCCUAUUAAAGAAUUUCGGUUAUCGAUGGGGAUGCGUUCCAUUAGG
rnacentral:rRNA from 1 species